UCAGCUGGGCCAGGGGUGCUUUAAUUAGGUCAGGUGGAAAUGGCCGACAGAUCUCAACUUCAUAAAAGGAGGAAAUCGCCAUCACCCGAUCUGGUUGCUUUCUCUUCCUUAGCUCCGUCUAAUCCAGACGGUCUCUGCGUCCAUGAAUCCACCACAGACUACCCAGUAAGGGAUAUCUGCCAAUACCUGGCAGAAGUACCACCCACUGUCAUUGUACCGGACAUCUCUCACAGUCAGUCUUGACCAAGCUCUCCCAGACUCCUGAAGGACAUGACCUCCAUCAUUCUGCUCCACAGUCUUGUUGACCGAUAUCUUAUGGGAGGAAAGUUGACUGGAACUAGAAUCACUGCAUGAUUGGUUUAUGUUGAAAUACCACCUCACCCAGGCACUAGUCUGGGGCUCAAAACUGCAGAUGAGGAUCAGAGAGGAACCAAGAGGAGCUUCCACUGUCCUUUGGGGUGGUUCCGUGAUCACAG
ensembl:lncRNA